rnacentral:rRNA from 1 species
CCUACGGGAGGCAGCAGUGAGGAAUAUUGGUCAAUGGACGAGAGUCUGAACCAGCCAAGUAGCGUGAAGGAUGACUGCUCUAUGGGUUGUAAACUUCUUUUAUAAAGGAAUAAAACGAGGCACGUGUGCCUUGUUGCAUGUACUUUAUGAAUAAGGAUAGGCUAACUCCGUGCCAGCAGCCGCCGUAAUACGGAGGAUCCGAGCGUUCUCCGGAUUUAGUGUGUUUAAAGGGCGCGUAGAUGGGUUGUUAAGUCAGUUGUGAAAGUUUGCGGCUCAACCGUAAAAUUGCAAUUGAUACUGGCAGUCUUGAGUAUAGGUGAGGUAGGUGGAAUUCGUGGUGUAGCGGUGAAAUGCUUAGAGAUCACGAAGAACCCUGAUUGCGAAGGCAGCUUACUAAACUGUGACUGACAUUGAUGCUCGAAAGUGUGGGUAUCAAACAGGAUUAGAUACCCUUGUAGUC